UUCUAGUCUAAGAGAUGCAUGUUUCUGUAUUUAUUCUUUUGCAUAUGUAUGAGUACAUACACAUGUAUAAAUACAUGAAGUUCUCACACUGUUGUAGCUCAGUUUUUCUAUAUUUUUCUCUCAAUGGUGUUGCUUAUUCUUGGAGGAUAUUCAUCCCAAAAUUCACUUCAACAGAAAUGGGCUUCACUUAAUACUUGAAGCUGUUUUUGUUGCCUUUGACCUCUGCUUGUGAAAGGGCUUUUUUGGCAGUAGUCAAGAAUAUUGAAAUAAAAUGCUGGGAUAAAAGCAAUGAAUAAUAGAGGGUGGGCAACUACUGAGUCACCAUGAAAUACUGCCAAUGGAGCUUGCUGAGCUCCAGCUCAGCUUGGUCUGGCUACCUAUGUCUCAUUGCUGAGUUCUUCAAAAUGUGCCACUACAGACAGCUGAUGCAGCCAGCUAAUCACAGGGAAAUGGUAGAGCUUCAAAGCUCUGGGAAUAAUAAAAGUCAUGUCUGCCACUGUCUGCUUACUCACCCUUGAAACGAGCUGGUAUGAAAGCAGCCAAGAGCAGUUGAGGCUCACAAACAGAAUGACUUGUAGGCUGUGAUGUGUUAGAAAUUAGUCAUGUUUCAGUCUGUGCUUUUGAUUUUGCUCAGCAGUUGUCUGCAGUGCCUUGGUCUCUGCCUGCUGUCCUGGACAUUGGGUAAGACAGGAGAGAUAGGGAGUGAUGGGAGCCAAGGGAGGCCUCUGGAAAGGAAAACUGAGCUCUCUGAUCUGCCCCACCACGCGUGGGGAGUGCACAGAGCAGCGCAGGCCAACAGCCCUCCGUGCCACCGUGGCUGUGCCAAUGCCUCUGCUCAGGGAUUUGCACAGUAAGGGCUGAGAAUUCCUGGUGCUGCCAGCAGACUGCAAUGAUGGAGGUUGGGAAGUGCAUAGCUGUGAUGUUUGAGGGCACAAGGGAUGCUUUAUUGGCAUGGAGCUAUCUUGUUCAGUGCCUUCCCCAGCAUGGACACCUUUGCCAGAAGAAAGGCAGGGAAGGUUGUUCCAUUGUUCUCAGGCUUCAAACCAGCUUCCCCUCCCUGAAAUUGCGGGGCCAGUGGGGGGCUGCUUUUGGUGGUGUCUUUCUUUCAUGAGUCUGAAGCAGGUUAGCUUGGUUUUCAAACACCUUCCUGCAGCCUUUCCUUAUUGUACAGCCAUAUACAGGCAGUAAACCAGCAGUUAAACACAAUCCUUUUCCGGAGGGUGCCGUGAGUCCCCUGUCCCCCCUCCCCACUGCCUGGGGCUCAGCCCUGCUGUGCUGCUUUUGAAGACAGCCCUACAGAGAUGCAUCUACCACGGCCUCAGGGCUUGCUGGCUGCUGUGCCCUGUUUACCCCAGAGCACUGCAGACACCAAGGGACAAACCCUCCCCUUGUUCUGUCCCAGGAGCACAUGAAGGCUGCUGGCAUUUCCACGAGCUGUGAGUGGAGACCCCAUGAGCACCGAUACCAGCACUGGGGCAAAGUGCAGUGAGAAGCAGACAAGGAAAAGGAACCCAGGGCAGCAUCUCAUUGUCCUCACCCUGCAGAACGUGGUGUCCAGUGCUCAGGGAGGGAACGACAAUGUUGUGGUACUGCUGGUGCCACAUGGGGAAUGUGCAGGGCCUGAGCAGUGGGUGGUCUGAUCUGAGAGAUGUGCAGUGCUGUAUUUUCCCAUGCACUAUGGGUGUGCUGGGUUGUAAAGCCUGCUGAGACAGCUGGGUGCUGCUGGAGCCCAGUUCUUAUCUAAUGCUUUUUUCUUUCUGCUCAGUUCCAGGUGGCAGGGGACACAGCCAGAGCAGUGGCACAGCAGCAGAGGGGAUGCCCGCCCACCUGGUGUGUUCCCUUGGCACACCCACCAACAGAUGUGGUGCUGCACGAUCCCACUUGCAGCCUGCAGCUGUCACAGCAAGCAAACCUGGCUUCCAAACAAGAGCUGAGCAACACUGACAAUCUGAGCAGAAGGGCAGCCCCAGUGCAGUGGCUGUGUUUAACCCUUAAGAGGCCACCUCGCAGGUCCUCUGUGUGUACCCUCAUGUUCCACAUCUGCCAGCAUCACUUUUCCCUCCCAGGAGCAGCAGACAGAAAACCAGCCCUGGGAAAUCUGCAUUUUUUGGAGCUGUCAAGGAAUAAAGCUGAACUGAGGGGGAAAGGAGUGUUUAUUCCCAGUGGAUAAAGAGAGGAAGGCUGAAAAUGAAGGAUUUUCUCCAAUGAGCAGCAAACCCCACCUCUGAAUUUCCAGUAAAUCUGUUGGGAGUACAAAGCAAACCAAUCAAGAAACGUCAAGGUGUAUUUACUGUCCUAUUAACCUGGUGCCCCAUUCCCUCUCUGGCACACGCUGUCAGCACACAAAGGUACAUCGCAGUGCUGGGGAGGGAGCGUGGCUGGGAGCCGAGCUGGGGCAAGAUGACCAAAUGGCUCCUGACUCCUGCUUUCCAGCCAUCACAGCAUGGAAAGGGGGUGCUGGAGGUGAGCCUGUUCUGGGAACAGUAGUGCUUGGGGACUGUGCCAGUCCUUUGUGCUGCCUGCUCUCAACGAGGCAGAAAUUUAAUUGUAACGAGGAACUCGCACAUGCUUACCUGCAGCUGAAGCCAAAGCAGCUUCUGUUAGAGAUCACCUAGACUUAACUACUGUCAAAUACCGGCUGCAAGUGAGAUGGGUUUCCUGAAUGCUAUAUUUUUACUUGGUGACACAUCUAGAACUUUUGGAAAGAGGUAUUUUAAAAAGCUUGUCUUUAAGGUUUUUGCAGGUGUCUUUCUUACUUUUUUUUUCCUUGUAAAGAAAAUUGGGCAAUCACAGAAUUGUGAUGCAAGUUGCCUCUUAUUCUCUUGCUUCAUAGCCCAUGGCCAUCCUGAAGAAUACAGGAAAUACUGAUAAAUUGGGUAUAUUCCCCAUCUAAUGUUCCUCUACGCUGUCCUCAGAGCAUGUCCUGCUCCUAGCUGCUCUGUUAACUUGUCUCUGCUUAUAACACUCGCUACAUAAAACACAACUGGGCGCUUUUCGCUCUGAUUAAAAUCAUGCUGUGCAAUAGGAAAUACAAAUUAGCUCUGGCCUUUGGGCUCCUGACAAGUUUCCAGCGCCGCUUUCAACACCACAGAGAUUGUGUAACUCCAUCUGUGCGGGCUCUGUGUGUGACGUCUCCCCCUCCGUCACGAGCUGGGCUGGCUGCCACUCAUCCAGGUUCAGCUGCUAAUACUUCAAGCAGCUUUUAGAACUGAAGGAGGAAGUGAUGUUGCCAGCAGCUGGGUGAAACCAGCUUUUCCUUGCCAGAGGACUAUGUGGGAAGGGUUAAAAGGAGGAGGACUUCUUAGGUAAUUCCCCUAAUCUUGAUGUUUGUGCAAACAUCCCUUUUGAAUGAAUGACUGGGGAGCUCAGCACAGGAGAGCACAGUAGUCUCUCAUUCAAACUACAGCUGAAGUUUGUGUUUCUGUGAAGUGCACGGCACUUUCCUGCCUCCUCCAGGAAUUCAAGCCAGGCAUGCUGUCUUACAUCAUUUCAGCACUGCUCACUCAAGGGCUGAGGCUCCAGCUAUCGUGUCACGUUUUCAGCAGAAACCUUUUAAGUCUCGGCGACUUCCUCUGAGGAUGUUGAAGCAAACAGUGGCCAGACCUGUGAGUGAACAAGUUGCAGAUGACACCGCCGGUUUGAAACGGUGCGUGGGCACGACGUGGGCGAAUGUUCCCUGUGCUGGGUGUUUUCUAAAGGUCUCUGAAGCAUGAGGCAUGACUGAAUGACUUCUGUUUUCUUUAAAUGAUGAGUGGGAGAAUUCUGAAUCGUUGGUCUGCUUUUAUUUUUGUUAAAUGCGUGUGGGCUGACAACAUGACUCAGUAUUUUCUCUGCAGAUGCAAAGAUCAUGCUGCCAAUUCUGGAUAUACUUCAGACAGUUUCCUAUGGAGAACUGGAACACUUUUUCAGUCCAAAGCUUUGCUUUUCGGUAGGCUUAAGUCUACUGAUGUGGAAAUAAGUGAUUUUAAAAGUGAGUGUUUUGCCAAAAUGCAUAUAAAUACACUGAAGGAAUGACCAAACAUGGGGAAAGUCCCUCUACCCCUGUGUUUUCCCAACAGUUUAUCUGAUUUUUUUCAUGGCUAACAAUGUCUGAUUUUUUUUUUUUCUGAUUCUCCCUAGCCUGAGUUGCAGCUGGGCCAUUUCUUUGUCUGCUGGAUAUCAUCUCUGGUGUUUAUUUGGCCGUCCAUGUCCUGCUGGGUGACAGCCACCAUCCUGGGACUGAUGGUUCUGAACUCUCCCCUCCUCCCAAGAGACAGGUAGGCAUAUUUGUGGGUACCUGUAUGUGGUUUAGCCACAAGUACCAGAAAACUCCCCUUUCUCCUUUCUGACAACCUCCCUGCCCUGCUGUCCCUUCUUUAUCCUCUCUUUAUGGCAUGUACAGUGUAUGGCAUGUGCUCUGGGAGAUACACAAAACCAGGCAUGGGCUUUGGAUGCUUUUAUUGUGCAACAGCGAGUGCCCUCUUCUCCCAUAUCCUCUUCUCUACUAAUGUGCGGUGUACUGGUGGUUAUGUCUUUGAUAAGUUGUAAGUCAGCAUUCUAGAGCUACCAAUAAACCACUUUUCCCUGCUGAUAGCAGCCCUCAGCCCUGUGGACCUUGCUGGAGGGCUGUGAAUGGCUAGAGAAUAACACACUAGUGGAUGAAGGACGUUGCACAGCAAAGCUUGUCUGUGAAGAUGGUGUGCCCGUAGAUUGAUUCUGUAGAGCGUGCAGAGUGAAAUGAAUUCCUUACACUCCGCUUAUUUGAUUGCUGACUUCAACCACAGCAGAAUUCCCACACUCAGUCCCUAGCAAUGGCCUAAUGUGACCUGUACUUAGCACCAUGACCCAAACCCCACUACGAUCCUGACUCCAUACUGACCCAUACAACAGUGAGCUGUACCUGACCCACGUAUGCACAAGCAUGUAUUACAGUACUAGGCAACUGUAUCAUCUUCCUAUCAUUCUAGUUCUUCAGUCCUAAGAUCUUUUUCCUAUUUCUGGCAUUUUCUCUACCUUCCACUGUCCACCCAUGGCAGUACAUCACCCUAAACUUAAGCCUGAGCAUGUCCAUCAUCCCUACAGACCUCACUGGAAGCCACUUGACGUGGUUGACUCAAAUGCCUUUGCAGGUUUAUCUCAUAAUGAUAAGAAACAGGUAGCAGAUUUUAUAAUUUCUCCCCAAUCCUCACAUUAUUCAAGAAGAAUCCUACACUUUAAGCCCAUUUACCCCACAACCUGAUUCCAGCUUUAAGGAUAAACUAUCAGCCAGCAUUCCUUGAAUCACAAGCAGAAGCAUUGUGCCUUACUGAGUACCAGCACUCAGGUUUGUCCUGAAGAGCAAAGAGGAGGUGCUCUUUAGUCCUUGGUGUCCUGAUCUCUAACCCUGACUUUAGUGUCGAAGAUCCAGUGCUCAUUACUUACAGUCCUGUACCUCUGAGUGCCAGAUCCACUCACCCCUGCCAGCCCCAGUCCACAUUACUAUGUUUCCAAUUGUGUUUUUGCUGGAAUCCAGGCACAGAGAUGGAGGCAGUCAGUGGGACUUGAUUGGUGUACAAGCUGUAAGUUGUAUUUUUCAGAGGUUGAGCUUGAUGAGGCAGAGCAUGUUUUGGUGGAUUUUAGGGUGGAAAGAUUAUGUUUGGUCAUGGCUUGAAGGACUAACUGGCUUGCUCAGCUGAGAGAAUGGCAGGCUGGGUACAAGAUGGGGCCUGGGGGAGUGAGUGUCUGUACACCAGUGAGUGAGCAGGGAGUCCUGGUCUGUGGCACUGAUCACUCUCCUUUCCUAAAACAGGCUUCAUUCUUCCUGUCUUCUUAAUUCUCACUGCCUUUCCACUGAUUCUUCAUCACUGUCUCCAGCCUUUUUCCUCCAGCCUUUGGAUUUCCAAAGCUACCAGCUUCUCUAGAGCUGGUUCUUCAGCCCUCCCCAGCCCUCUGUCACUGCUGCCUUGCCUGUUUGUGGCAGUCAGAGCACAGCCAGAGGCCAAGCACAUGAACCUAUGUUGUCUAUUAGAAGGCACUCUAUUUCACAUUAGUGUGUCUUGGGAAACAAGAAUGGAGACUGCUACAGCCUCAGGUGUCUUCUGAUAUCAUUGUGUAGCUGCGAAUAAUGAGCUUGCUUCUGGAGUUUUUUUGGGAUUGGCCUUUCAGCUUGCUUCAGUUAUUUACAUUGAAGGUAGGUAUAGCAUUUUUUGUUUCUGAGUUGUGUUUGAUAAGAUUGUCACAGAAAAGCUCUCCAAGGUUCUGGAAAGAACACUUAUUAAAGGGGUUUUGUAAUUGGUACCGUGUGUGGUCCUCAGCUUUUCUGAACUUUUGUUGUGUUACAUUCAAGUAUAAUCUAGUGUUGUUUGAAAGAAAUCUUGGAAAAACUGACAGCAGGUCAGAUGAGGGAGGUGGAGCUGGUUUAUGCCACUUUUUUUGCAACAGAUGAAGUUGGUAUUCCCCACCUGGUGAAGGUGCAGCAGACUGAAUCACUAACACACUUUGCUCUGAAAUAAAUCACAGUGACAAAACGACAUUGCUUGUGGCAAAUUGCUUAUUAAAUAGCGAGCGUUACUUUGCGUGCUUAAGAUCACAACUACUCUCUUUAAAACAAACAAACAUUUAUUUUUCCACAAUCAAGGCCAGUGAAAGGCAGGUCCCCACAGGGUACAGAGACCAGCCUGCUUCCUCAUUCUUUGCAGUCUCACGGAUGGGUUGCUUUCUUCUGUGUCAAGUGAAAACUUCCUGACCCAACCCUGGACUCGCCCUGAGCCUGGCCAGAUCUCCUCCCCACACCAGCCUCACCCCAUGUCUCCCAGGAACAGCCACCCUCUUCCCGUGUGCCUUACCAAGGUGUUCAGUGCAUUUGUCGUUUGCACACUCUUCCUGAUACACAACACCCAUAUAUUUUUAUGGCCAGUUUGGAUAAAGACAUCACUCCAGCUGGUAACUGCAGCUUCCAGAUAAGACUGACCCCGUGACAGAGUAAGAAACACCCAAAUAAGGAGCAAGGAAUUGUCUAUUUUCAGGCUGCAGACUGGCUACAUAUACCAACAAACAGAAUUUUGUUGCACAAACACAGAAUAACAACUCUAACUGGAACAGUUCUCUUGGUAGUCCUCACUUUAUCUGUAAUUAAUUCUGAAAAGAGUUUCCAGGCCCUACCAUUAGAAAGCAACUUCCUGAGUGUGUCUUUAAGGAAUAAAGGGAAACAAUAUUUUUAAUGACAUAGCC